ACAUGCAGUAUUUAUUCCAUAAUAUGUCUACAAAUGAUAUAUUUAAUAUGCUAUUCAAGAUGACUCUUUAAACACCUUAAGCAAUGAUUAAUUGAUCGAAUUGUCCCACAGAACCUUUCUAGAAAAUAGAAAAAGCAUAAUGAUAAAGAAAGAUGCAGGAAAAGAAUAUAGAGAAUGCAAAAGUGGGGAAGACUGCUCAGAAAAGAAUGAGUGGAAGGGAGAAUAUUGGUACCAUAACACUUAAUGCCUAAGAAAAAAAUGCUGAAAAUUAGGAGGAAAACAAAGAGAAAAAAGAUACAGGAAUCAUACAACUUGAUUUUUUUCCCACUUUACAAUUUUUGCCUAAGAUCAGUCAUUCUUAGUACAGGCUGAACUUUUUAGCGGAGAGAAUAAAAAUGAUUAAAGAGUAUAUGAUUUAAAAAUAAGGGUAGACCACCCCGGCAGUAUAUUCUGCCGGCCACAUAAUUCAUAUUUUCACAUACAUUUGUUAAGAGUCAAAUGUCUAACUUUGUGUAUUUUUACUUAUGACAAAAGCAAAAAUGUUCUCAUGUAUCGAAUUUCCUGGAUAUUAGAAAAACUGCAAAUAUAUGUGGAAGUAGUUGCAAAAAUUAUUUUAUCUCUGCAGCAGGUAGAUGCUGAGCUGAAAUUGGAGCCUACAGAAAUGUGCAGAGUUACUCUGAUUUAGCAAAGAGUUUCUGGAAAAUAUGCUGAUUUUCAUGGCUUAGUAAAUAUUUUUUUAGAACUUCUAAAGUGAUAUAGCUCAUAGUAAUGUAAUUAUGAACUCCUGUUUUGAAAACGUUCUUCUUUUUGCUCACAUAGUAAUUGCAAUAAAAGCAUGGAGAAAAAGCCAGAUGGAAGAAUUGUUUUAAAACAAGUAACCCACCAGUGGAUGAGAAGACACUACAACUUCAGUUAAUUCUAGCAACCAAAUAUAAGGUAUGGGAUUCAUCUACCAACGUUAUUUUUAUUUCUUAAAAAAAAAAUCCUAAAAUUUCAGUCAGUAAGAGUUAAUUUAAAAUGUUAUUGCUUUUAUUUGAGAAAAACCUAGGCAAAUAUUUCCAAUGAUUUUUUUUUCAAGUUUUGGGUGUUUUGGUUUUGUGGCUCUUGUUCCUUUUCCUCAGUAUAAUAAUAUACAUUUGGGGAGUUCCCUUCGUGGCUCAGCGUGGCUCAGUGGUUAAUUAACCUGACUAGGAUCCAUAAGGAUGCCCUUGCUCAGUGGGUUAAGGAUCGGGCGUUGCCCUGAGCUGCAGUUUAGGCUGCCCACUUGGCUUGGAUCCUGCGUCACUGCCAGCACCUGUAGCUCCUAUUUGACCCCUAUCCUGGGAGCUACCAUAUGCCACAGGUGCUGCCCUAAAAUAGCAAAUAUAUAUAAAUAUAUAUAUAUUUGAGGGGGAAAAUCCAAUAAAAAUGGAUAUUUUAAUCAGAUCACCAAAAUCCUUGAGCGAGCAUUUUAAUUCUUCUUCACAGAUAAUUUCUAAGAUAGUACUGUUUCUCUUCUAUAUUCCUAAGCCAAAAGUACUGUUGGUUAUUCAACUUUUUCUAAUAAUAGUUUAAAUAUAUAAGAAAUGAUCCCAUCAGGAAAUGAAUAUGAAAAAGAAAAGAAAUAUCCUUUAUCAUUAAAAUUUUCACAAGUGUAGUUUUUAGAGGUAGAUGGAAAAGCAAUAGUGGAGGACCAAAACGUGGAAUGGAAAAACUCUAGAUUUAAGGCAAGAAUAAUCAUUGUAGAAUGCAAAUCAGUUGUACCACUCUCUUGCCUAAAUUCUGUCAAUGGCUUCCCACAAGCUACAGUGAAAAGGCCAAAGCUCUUAGCAUAGUCCUGUCAUUUUCACUGGGGAGCUAUUCUGCUGCCCUAGAAGGCAUUCGGGAAUUAGUAAUGUAUCAGCGUUUACUGCUAUCUAAUACAUUAUUUAUUCCCUAACUCAGCAGCUUAAAACAACAUGUUUAUUACCUCACAAGAGCCUUUGUGGAUCAGGAAUCAGGAUGUUCUGGGUAGUUCUGGCUCUGAGGAAGUGGUCGCCAGUUGGACUCUUGGUCAGAACUCUGAUCAUCUCACGGCAGGGCAGUCUGGUUCACGUGCAGUCACAGGAGGCUUCAUUUCCUGGGGCUGUUUAGAGGAUAUGGCAGCUGGCUUUUCCCUGAGCAAGAUGAGUGGGUGAGUGACGUGCGUGUGUGUGUGUAUGUGUGUGUGUGUGUGUGUGUACAGUGGUGAGCGUAGGAAGAAUUUGAAUGAUGGAGACCCUCCUGGAGACUGGCUAGCUGCCGAAAGUAAAAACACUUGUGGUUUGUCAUAAUGACUAGAGAUUCCCAUUAACACAGACAAAAACCAAGGGUAUUAAAAUCUUGUUCAAGAAGGAAUCCAUCAGGAAGCUGCCAGCAGUGCUGCCGAAUAGCUCUCCUGCGCUACGGUCUCUGUAGACACACUCCUGGCUCCAUUACACGUGGCUUCUUAAAGUUCCCUGUAAAAUCCUCUGCCUUCGACGUCCACAAAUCUUCCUUCUGACUUCAGUGCCUCUUCACCUUAGCAACCUUUCCAACUCCCUUUUUGGGAGUUAGUACAAAUUCCUUCAUCUGCUGGAUGCGUUCCCUGUUACGUUAAGCCAAUGAGCCCUUGCUUUUCUCAGCCCUAUUUUCAUUCUUGUGAUGGCACACUCAUGACACUGCUGUUAUUACCUCUAACAGCCCUUCUCCCCCAGGAGACUGUGAGCCCCUGCAGGAAUACGUUUUAUAAUCUAAAUCUCAGGGUCCCCAAACCUUACACAGCUCCCGCACAUAGGAACACUUCUUAAUA
rnacentral:lncRNA from 1 species